rnacentral:rRNA from 1 species
GACGAACGCUGGCGGCGUGCUUAACACAUGCAAGUCGAACGGAAAGGCCCUGCUUUUGUGGGGUGCUCGAGUGGCGAACGGGUGAGUAACACGUGAGUAACCUGCCCUUGACUUUGGGAUAACUUCAGGAAACUGGGGCUAAUAUCGGAUAGGAGCUCCUGCUGCAUGGUGGGGGUUGGAAAGUUUCGGCGGUUGGGGCUGGACUCGCGGCUUAUCAGCUUGUUGGUGGGGUAGUGGCUUACCAAGGCUUUGACGGGUAGCCGGCCUGAGAGGGUGACCGGCCACAUGGGGACUGAGAUACGGCCCAGACUCCUACGGGAGGCAGCAGUGGGGAAUAUUGCACAAUGGGCGGAAGCCUGAUGCGGCAACGCCGCGUGCGGGAUGACGGCCUUCGGGCUGUAAACCGCUUUCGCCUGUGACGAAGCGUGAGUGACGGUAAUGGGUAAAGAAGCACCGGCUAACUACGUG